UAGGAAUCAGAAACCAGAAAGUAAACGGAAUUAUACAGAAAAAAGUCAAGAUAUUUCUGUAGCAGUUACUGAGGUAAGUUUUUAAAAAUAAUAAUAAUAAUAACAAUUGGAGCAAUUAAUGGGAAGUAUUUACAUUCAAAAUUGUUUAUUACAUUUCCUCAAUGAGUGCAUGUUUAGCAGUCAACAGAAUCUUUAGUUUGGACAAUGAAGAGAUGGGGUGAAAAUCCUGUUCAGCCAAGAAUCUUGGGCCAGUCACCUCCUUGCAUUGCAUCCUUCCUAGGGUUGCCAUAUUUCAAACAGUGAAAAUCCAGACAGAAAAGUUGUUCCCCCCAAAAAAAGCUGUUGAGCAAAAUCUCAAAAAAGAUGUUUUUGAGCUAUUUUUAUGGGGAAAUGGCAAAAACGGCACUGCCAACCUGGGCUGCAACCCCAAUCCAACCUUGUGCUGUAGGGUUGCUUUGGGGAAAGUCUGAUACACACCACCCUGAUCUCCUGGGACAGGCUGCUAUAUGCAAAUGUAGUUAAAUGCAUAGUGAUAAUUACAUUACCCAAACUCAUGACCUUAAUUUGAGGUAGGGGGAUAGUGGUGAGGUGGGUCCUGCAUUUAGCAGUACAGUGGUACCUCGGGUCAAGAAAUUAAUUCGUUCUGGAGGUCCGUUCUUAACCUGAAACUGUUCUUAACCUGAAGCACCACUUUAGCUAAUGGGGUCUCCUGCAGCCGCCGCACCGCCGGAGCACGAUUUCUGUUCUCAUCCUGAAGCAAAGUUCUUAACCCGAGGUACUAUUUCUGGGUCAGCGGAUUCUGUAACCUGAAGCAGCUGUAAUCUGAAGCGUCUGUAACUCGAGGUACCACUGUAUUCCACAGUGUUAUGAUUGUUGCCAAUCCUGCUAUAUUAUAGUUAUUAGAAGCACAGAGUUGGAAGAUGCCUCAAAGGACAUCUAGACUAGUUCCCUCCUGAUGCAUAAAAUUGACUUACGGGGGGGGGGGGGGGAGCCAUGACAAGUAGCCAUGGCCCCCAUUCAUAUGUGAGUUGUAGCCCUUCCCUUGGCAUCUAUGUACACAUUGUGAACGUCUGCAAGGAGAGGAAGUCCUUUGUGCAUACAUUUUCACUCGCAUGACCCGGAACUCUGUCUGGGCAGCUGCACACAUGGGAGGAGGGGACCAUGCAGUGCACUUGGGGGAGGUGGGCGAUUCAGCCCAUUCCCUCUCUUGCAUGUUGAUUUAAGAUGCAAGACGAAUGCCUGAAGACAGCUUCAUCUGUGGCCUAAAUCAACCAAUAGUUUAUUUCUCAUCUCAUUGUUCCAGGUGUAGUGCAGCUGCACGUGCGAAACUUUGUUGAGAUCCUUUAGCAGACUUGCCAAAUGCCUUGAAUGGUUCUCCUUCCAACAUUCAAUUUCACACCAGAAUUUUGCAUAAGGGACCACAUGCAGCACACAAAUUUAGCACUCUUCAUACCACUGGAAUAAAAUAGUUAUAAAAACUUUACCAGUUUUAUUUCUGCAAGUCCAGCAUUGGUUUUUAAAGUGGAACUCUGCACAAUCUUUGUACUGCAGCUUCUGUGUAUAGUUUCUUUACUUUUUAAUAUAGAUUUCAGAAUGCCUCUUGUAAAUGAUUUAUCUCUCCCCAACAGUGAUUUUAAGGUUUAAAACAUUUCUGCUAGUUGCAUUCUUAACAUGUUUCAGUUUUCUGCUGCCAACCAUACUGAAUGUCGAAGUUCUUCGUAUUUAUGAUUCAUGAGCCCUUUAAGGCAUAUUAUGAAAGGUGAGUAUUAUUUGGUAACUGGCGGUAGGCAAACUUGUAAGUUUUCCGUGGCCUCUUGGUCAAGGUUCAAGGAGGGAGUGAUAGACUUUUUGUUUCCUGCUUGUUUGCUUUAAACAAUGAUCUGAGGGAAGCAGAGAGGAGAACAUAGCCUCAUUCAGGGCUGUCCACAGCGUCAAGGCAAAAGUGUUCAGCCUGUGUGUAGAACAAGGAGGCUACUUAAAAGCAAAGGAUAUUGCGCAAGGAAUGCAAUCGCUCAGCCAGGAACGGGCAGUCAGUGCGGUCUCACAGUGACCCCUACAGGCAAGUUAAAGAAGGGAAGAUAAGCAAGGGGGAAAACGUGUUUGAGUUUCACAGGAAUGCCAUUAUUUUGCCAGAAGUGCUUCAUGCUGUCAGCAACAUUAUGCAGAAAUAUAAUUUUUUAAAACAAGGCAAGCAAUUGUGAAGAUUUUCAAAACAGCAACAUAGUGUUGAUGGCAGAAACUUUUUCCUUAACUAAUAAGAAAAUACACUGUGCGCCCAUCAGUACAAGGACCAGGAGACCUUCCUUGGGUUUAAAUGGCAUAAUACCAGGAAAUAAUGAAUCCUAAAUAUAUUUACCAUGCUUUAUCUUUUAGUUCUAUUUGGAAAUUGACUCCAGAAAUAGAUUGCAAUUAAUGUACAAAACAAAUAUUCCAUAUCUAUAAUUAUUCUCAUGAAAUAAUAAUAUAUAGAUAAACGGAUAAAAGUGAUAAAAAUGAUGUUAUAAUGAGAACUUAACAAUAACUAUAUGAAAAGAGAUUUUCAAAUAAUGAGUACCAUUUCAUACUUAGAUCCUUCUUCUAGUUGGAAAAAAGCUAACUUCUUUCAGUUUAGACUGAGCGUAAAGUCUUACCAAGGAAGCUGCACUUUGAAUCUUAUAAAGGAGAGGGGAGGGAGAGACUGUAAUAUUGAUGGACAUGGCAACAAACUGUCUGCUGGCACAAUCCCAUGAUAAUUAAUCUUCAAAGUACAAUGUUAAUAACAUUUUACUCAAUGCUUUUUUCUGGGGGGAAGCAGGGGUACGCAUACCCCUAAACAUUUUGUGAAUUUAACUUUGGCCUCAUUGGGGGGCAGUAUUUCAAUACGAGUAGGAAAAUAAGACACGUUGUUGUUGUUGUUUAUAGGGGAAAAAGCACUGGUUUUACUACAGUUUAGGUGCAACUGUCUUGGAAAAAAACCCCAAGUCAAUCAAUGUUUGACUAUUCUUUAACCUUUGUAGCAUUUGCCACCCAUUUUAAACUGUGUCACCUCUGCUGUCAUUUAUUUAGGAUGUAUUUCCUAAAGCCAUUUAUUUUAUAUAAUCCUCUAUAACCUGAACAAUUUAUAUUAACAUAAUGUGAUUGCCUUUGACGCUUUGACCUCACAGCAUCUAAUUUGUACAUUUAGUAGUACCAGAGAACCUAAUUUGACCUAGGUCCUAGGACUUAGCCGAGGGCAGAGAAACUCAGGGUCAGAGCCCCGGCAGGACCUUCCAGGACUUUCCCAGGGCAUGUACCCUCUCCAGUCCACGUCCCUCACUAGCACAUCUCCUCUCCCUCCUUGUGUGCUUCUGCUUACUUGCAACGUAUCACUGAACUGUGGUAAUGCCUUUUGCUUGCCUGGAUGGAGAGUGUUUGGGAGACUGGGUGGAGGAGAAACCUCUUGCCUUGGCAUCACUGUAGUAUAGUCUAGUGUACUAAGAUAAGAAUUGCUCUGUCCACUUCUGUCUCUGUCCCCUGCCCACCACUGGCAUUGUACACCACCUUGUAAUCUUUGGUGGUAUAUUAUUAUUAUUAUUAUUAUUAUUAUUAUUACCCCCAAACGAAAGACUUGUCAAAGGAAUGUGGCUUAGCCUAAGGACAUGUUAAUGAAUAAGAAAAAAAAAGAGUAUCUGUGAUCAUGUUCAGGAAAAAAAAAUCAGAUAGUUCCAUCGCUGUUCAAUUGGAAAUGUAAGCAACCUCUGACCUGUCAAAUAGCAGCAUCACUUCCUCCUGAGUAGGCUUUUGUGAAAAUUAAGCCAUUUUUGUGAGAAAGCAACCUACAUUUCCAUUUCCUAUUGAAAUUCUGAUAGUUAUAUAACCCUGAUGUAAAUGUUUUGUGCAAACAUGCACUAAAUUUAUACUUGUUUCGUAAGCGUCAGAAUAACCAUAGACCAGAGGUAUAAAGGCUGAAGGUACAUCUUUCAUGCAUAGAGCACAGCAACCUCAAGAUGUUGUUGAACUACAACUCUCAACACCCUUGACCAUUUCCCAUGCUGUAGUCCAGUAACACCUGAAGGCCACUAUUUUGGCUAAAAAUACUAUUAGACUACAGUGGUGCCUCGCAAGACGAAAUUAAUCCAUUCCGCGAGUCUCUUCGUGUUGUGGUUUUUCCGUCUUGCGAAGAACGGCUAUUAGCGGCUUAGCGGCUACUAACGGCUUAGCGGCUUUAAGAAAAAGGAAACAAACUCGCAAGAACUCGCAAGACGUUUCGUCUUGCGAAGCAAGCCCAUAGGGAAAUUCGUCUUGCGGAAUGACUCAAAAAACAGAAAACUCUUUCGUCUUGCGCGUUUUUCGUCUUGCGAGGCAUUCGUCUUGCGAGGUACCACUGUAGUACUAUUCUGGAAAGUAAAAUAAUUAAAAGGCACAUAACUAGUGAUCUAAAUAAGCAAUUGCUUUAUAAAAACAUUAUUUGAUCUACAAUAAAUUAAUGUAACCAUAGGGUGAUAUUCAGCUAAUCUUCACUUAGAGUAGAGGCUUUGAAAUUAAUGGACCUAAAUGGACCUGACUUAGUCAUGUUCAUAAAUUUUAAUGACUCUACUCUGAGAAAAAGUUAGAGGAAUACCAACCAAAGUCAGCUGCCUGUGCGAAAUAGCUAAUUGGGUGUUUCAGUAUUUUAAAUGAAUGAAACAGUUGAAUGUCAAUCCCACACAAAGUAAAAUAGUUGUUUGUUGCUCUGAAUAUGAAAUAAUGAGGAAUAGCAAAAAUCAAAUAUAUGCAAAUAUAUUGAACAUGCAAUUGCACUAUUUGGGUACACAAAAAUAACUGCAACAGAUUUGGAAGGCUUCUGCAUAUCUAAUGAAUAAGCAUAUUGUAAAAUAGCAAUGGAAAGGAGAGUUAUCUGGCGCAAGCUCUCUGGAAUCGUUAAGUUGCUUUUAGGUAAAAGGAGGCAAACAGUUAUUGGCUGCUAGCUAUGCUUUGCAAAUUUCUAUUUUGUUCUUUUCAACUACUGCUGACUGUUUGCCAAUACAUGUGAACGUUUUUGUCAACAAGAAUUAGGCACAGUGAUUUCUGCAUCCAUCUUGUGACAUGGUAAAUACUGCAAGAAUUCUGUGGCUCUAUGCUCAGUGCACACAUUUCAUGACCUACCGAGUUGCAGCGACAGGUUUCGCAGAAGGUGACUGGUCUGGGGGCGGGGCAGGAGGGAAUAGGAUAGUGUCUUACUUAGCUCUUAAUUUGUCUACUCCCAAAGGCCAACUGAAAUUGGCCCAAUGAUAACAUUUUAAAUGUUCUAAUUUUCCUGCAGUGCUCCAGGGCUGAUAACAACACCAGCCAUUUACGAGAUGUUGCUUAGUGCUGGCACAUUAGGUACCAAAGAGCUUGUGAGAGCACAGCACACAUAUUCAAAAGAAUAUUUCCUUUAGUGCUGACAGUAUGAGGACCAAAUUGUAAAAUCAAUACUGCAGUGAGGGGUGGCAGGAGGCUGAGAAAUAAGAGCUUGCCUCUGAACUUCUGAACUUCAUGGUUCACAGCCUGAUCUCUUAGCUGCUAUGUUAAAAGAGUGUGCAUUACAAGGAGUUACCAGGAGCACAGAGGGAAGCAACGCCAUGGUACACCUGCAUCAGCGCCACCAGACAACAUCAUCUGCCCCAGUUGCAUCAAAGCAUGUCUCCCACAUUGGUCUCUACAGCCACAGCAGCUGCUGUAACUCUCCAGUGGUUUGACUUCACUCCCAAAGGUGCACUCUUCCACUGUCUCCUGAGACAGAUGGAUGCCAACCAACAACCAGUGGCUGCAGCACUGAGCUGUGAACCAGAAAAUCUCGGGUUCAAAUAUCUGCUAUGAAUUCCCUAGUCAUUUGAACAUUCGUUUAUGUAAUAUGUUAUCUUUUAUUAAUUUUUAUUUCUGUACAGUCUAAAUGGUACAAUAACAAGACUAUUUUUGUAGCAAAAGAAACAAAAGCAGGUCUCUUGUCUUGCCAUGUUUGUGGAGGAGCAGCUAAUACUUUUAGCUUCACCCACACCAGACAAUUCUUUCUGCAGCAACUUGUGGUGUGUGUGGUUGGCUGCAGUGAAUUCAAGUGCAUAAGAAGCUGCUAACAAAAAGGGACAUCUGGUUGCAGAGGUGUUCUGAUCACCUUGAGCUUCCACAUCUGUGCAGAUGCAAGGUGCAGAUACUCACUACCAUGCACAACACAUAGUUAGUUGCUGCAGAAAGGAUUAAUGAUGUUGAAACUAAGAACAUAGCCCCACUCCCAGUGGUGGACUUUGGGCUUUCAAAUUUCAGCGGCAUCCCGUGCAAUACCAAAAUCCAGCACCCCUCACUUUUUGCCUUCCAUUCUAAGUCAUUGUUGCAGCACCCCCUGCAGCACCCUCUUGGAUCAGUGCCCAGUGUGGGCAAGCCUGUCGCAUGCCCCUAAUUCUGCCUUUGCCACGCCUCCAUCAAUGCAGCAACGUUACACGAGUAAAAUGUGAAUAAGGCUUUAGCUAAGCCACUAUCUCUUACUUUCAUUCCCUUCUAGAAUAUGAGGAUAAUAAUCCCAACCUAUGUUAUAGGAUUUAUGUAUCUAACACAGCUUGAACAAUUAAAGAGCGCUAUAUAAAUAAAUGCUAAGUGUUUGUAUUUAGCUGGGAGCCACUGCCCAGAAGGCUGCCUCUGGAGGGAAGGACUGGAGCAGAAGGGAAUGGAAACACCUGCGAGACCUUGGCCUGUAUCCUGAGGGUAUGAUUUCCUCCCACUGCUCAGGUAUUUAGCUGGGAGCCACCACUCAGAGGUGCAAACUGAAGGACAAGAGCCAGUUCUUUCAGCUAGUGGGUCAGUUGUCAGCUGAGCAAUCCCUGCUGACCCUAAACCAUCAAGAGCAGAUUCCCCUUCCACAAGCAAGACAAAGAACAGCUUUACUUAUUAUAGGACCUAUGGGAUCACCUCUCCUGGUAUGCCAGGCCUUUGGUGGGGGCGCAGUCUGACCCCCUCUCCUCCUACAAGACCCUAUAGAUAAGAGGCCUCUCUAAUUUGUCUCAUCGGCUCAUAUAAAUAGCUGAGCCUGGUGAGUACCUAAGGUUCCCAACCCCUAUAGUCAUAAUUUGACGGUUGCCUUCUGAUCUUAUUUGAUUUUAAUCCAAUUUUAAGCUGUAUUUCAG